rnacentral:lncRNA from 1 species
AGUGACUGAUUGUUUUCUUGUUUGCUUGUGAAGCUGCAAGAAUAAGGGAAGGACAAGAUGCUCGUUGACCACCGUAUGCAUUGGACCACAGCACUGAAUGUAGCACAGCAAGACCAGAAGUAAAUAAUAUCAGGAGAAACAAAACUGACCAACAGAGCUAAUAAGAAUGAGGCAAACGGCAUUAAUCAAUAUCCUUUACAAUCAUUGUGGAAGAAAGUAAGCUCCCCUUUGUGAGGGAUAUCUGGCUAAACUGAAUAAUUAAUUGCAUACUACAUUGGUUGCAACCACAGCGAAGGAAAAUAUUCAGAUUGCUUGCAGUUCAUGAAAUAACAACGUAUUUCCUUGCUAUUUGUUUGAUUAGCUUUAAUGCACACUGUUCAGCUUAAUAGUUUUAUCUCGUGGGCCAAAAAGGUCACUCGAAAGUAACAUCUGUAAUGUGUUCAUGAGUUUGUGAAGCAUCCUGUGUUACACCACCCAGCUACCCCACUCCUGAAUGGAGGGAAGUGCCAUUUUGUGAUGGAACUGCAAUAAUCAGCAGCAAUAUAACGGAGUGGGGCGGUACAAACGCAAAGCAGAGAGUUCUGUCCUGGGCAACAUAAGUAAAAUGAAGGAUGAGAUCCAACAGAGAUGAAACAUCCGACCUAGUGAUGAAUGCUCUGAUUUCUGAAGGACAGAGGCAGCUAUACUACAGACUGAAGAAAUGGGACAGAAGAAGCCAUCCAGUGAUCACUCCUGUGUGAUUCUUUAAAGUUAAGCUGGAAUUUUUCAAGAUCAUGGAACUGUUUCCAACUGCUUUGAGAUCUGUCACUCUUUUCUAUGCGUGCAGCUAUAAAGAAAUUCCCUUGUAACAUCUGCUUCUUGAAUGUCUCCUGUGCAGCACGUUUCAGGACACCAUUACGAAAGCACAAGGAGCUUCUGGAGCUGAAAAAUAUUCCCCGCAACACAAAGACAGGCCGGGUCUGCAAGGGUUUGUUCAGAUCAUUGAGUUCCUGGAUUCCUCUUCAGAUGGAGGGAUGAGAAGAGCUGACAGAUGCCUAACUUAACUCUGAAGGAAGGGCAGAUUAACACUGACUAGUAGAGGAGGCUCAAACUCCUGGCAGAAGAAACCGGCGUUCAUUGUGUCCUGCCCCAUUCAGGGAAACACGUCUGUGCUCAUAUUCUUGGAACACUCUGUUUGCACAUCCCAGUAAACAGCACUGCCACAAAGAAGCCCCUGCUCUGCCCCCAGUGCUUCCCUGUGGCCACACUCAGAGCUGAGAGUGCUGGUGAAGUUCUCAGCUUGAGAAGUACCAGCCUUACAGUCUACAGUUAACUCUGGCAGUAAGUUACAGUAGCUCCAUGCACAAAACAGGAGACAAAUAGAACAAACUGUUCUCCCUCCAUACCAAAGUCAGCUCUAGAAAAUAACUGCAUGAAGGGAAGGGAGAUGACAUACCCAUCCUUCUACUGUCUUACCCAACUGUUAGCUUUUAGAUUUUCAAGGGGAAGCACAAAGGAGUUCUGCACAUUGCCCACACCUAUGUAGAAAUCAGCGUGCUUCCACUCCGUGUAUUACACUGAAAGCUGCCAGCACUCUCAGGGCCAGGAGGUUACGGUAGGUUUCAACCUCUGACUCCUCAUCACUCCUCCUGUGAGCACAGCAGCCAAGUAACCUGGUGGCACAUUGCAGGAAAGCUGGAGGGAACUCAGCAGCAGCGGUGCAGCGUGCAGGCUGUGAGCACAGAGCCCUCAGCCUGCCUGCAUGAUGCAACCCCUCCUCCCCCUGCUGCUCAGGAGCGUCGGCUUGAAGCUGGGAACUGCACACGGCUGAGCUCAGAACUUUGGGAAUGGCUCUAAGAAGACCGAGGAGCUGGGAGUCAGGAGCUCCAGCAUGCCUGGGAGCUGAUACGUGCUGCAGGAGCCUUCUCCUUUCCAAACCCUCCAUCUCUGCUAAGGACAGGGCAGACACAGCUCAAAGACACUCGCAUCUGGAAGGAUCUCUAUUUGGAUUCUGCUGCUGCUAACAGAGCCACUCACA